rnacentral:lncRNA from 1 species
CAUUGUUAAUUUGCAAUUACUUAUAUUUUUUUUUAUUUUAUUGAAGAAAAGUCACUAACUGCUUGUAUAUAUUUAAAAGAACACUUCUACAGGCUUUGGAAAACUAUCAUCCACAUUGAGUAAUUUGGAGAUCCUUGACUUAAGUUACAAUUACUUGAAUGAUAGCAUUUUGUUAUCUUUGAGUGAGCUUUCCUCUCUCCGGUAUUUAGACCUAUCAUACAACCAAUUUGAAGGAUCAAGUCAUCCAAGAGGUAAAUUAAAUUUGGUCUGGUGUAAGUUUUUAUUUGUAUAGUAGAGUUUGAGGAUGGUCUUCUAGGCUUGGUACCUAGUUUUCCAUUCUUUUUAUCCGUUGUAAUUCCACUUUUGCUUUAGUAAAAUUUUCAUAUAGCUAAGAAAGAAAAAAACAAUUAACAAGUAAUUAUGUAUAUAUAUCAGGUUUUCAAUUGCUUUCAAGACUCAAUAACUUGGAAACUCUUGAUUUAAGUUGGAAUUCUUUGAAGAAUAGCAUUUUGUUCCAUAUGAGAAAUCUUUCAUCCUUGAAGACUUUAAGAUUGAGACGUAAUCAGUUGAAAGGAAGGCUGGAUCAUAUUCAAGGUAGACUGAUUUUACCUGUUUCUUUUCAACUUUAAAAAUCAAUAUGUAUAUUCAAGUUUGAUUUCAUCAUACGAUCAAUAUAUAACUAAUCAAUACUUGGGAUUGAAUUUUAGGGUUGAAUAAUUUGACAAACUUGAAAUACUUGGAUUUAAGUGACAACAGCAUUGAAAGCAUCUCAAACCAAGGUAUAAGUACACUAUUUACAUGUCAAUUCAUAUUAAAGGUAGACUGGUUUUAUAUGUUUCUUUUUUACUUUAAAACCAAUUUUUGUUUAAGGGACAGUUAAUGUUGCAAUAUUUUAAAAUUGAGUAAAUUAAGUAGGAAGGUAUCUCAAACAAAGUAUUUAUAUGUUGAAUCAAUUAAGUUUUACUUGUAAAAUGUAGCUUAUGAAUUCAUGGGAAAGCUUGUAAAUUGGCUCUUCCUUCUCAAACAAACAUUUUUCCUAGCUAUUUAUAUAUUGAAUGAUAUUAACUAUACUAAUUAUUUUCUUCCAAUGAUAGAUGGAACACAAUGGAGGCUAACAAACUUAGAGGAACUUGAUUUAAGUAAUAAUCUCUUUCGGAACAACACAAUUUCUUUCCUCAGGGGCUUUCAAGCCUAAAGUCUUUGACUUUGUACAACAACAGUUUGCAAGGCUCAUUAGAUACUAAAGGUACUAAAGCUAUAACUUUGUUUUUCUUGAUAAUUCUUUCUAGAACCUUUUAAAAUUAAUUGUUUCAAAUUUGAGCAUUCAGAUUUCACGUUUGAGGUUUUUCAUCUUCACUUCAAGUUUUAGAUUUACUUUUUUUUAUUUCAUUAAAAUAUUAAGUAGAAAUUAAAAUUAUUAACAUAAUGAUUUUUUGAAUUGGACAUGGAUAUGUAUAGGAUUGAGCAAUUUAACAAAUUUGAAGAAACUAGAUUUAAGUGGGAAUCAAAUUGAAAGCUUUCAAUCCUUUAAAGGUAUGCAUUUAUAUUUAACCAAUUACCUAAAUUCUUACAUAUAAUUAAAUUUUAUGCCAAUUCAUUUCAGUGAUGAAAUUAUAUAAAUGUGGUUCAAAAUUGGAGUUGACCCACUUGGAAGAGCUUUAUUUAGAUUACAAUCUCUUCAAUACUAGUGUAUUUGCAUCCCUUAACAAGCUUUCAAAUUUGAAAUCUUUGAGCAUAAAUUACAAUCAAUUGAAAGGAUCAAUAGAUACGAAAGGUAAAAAUAUUAGUUUUUUAACAAGGAUAUAAUAAUGUUUUAAGAGAAUAUAAUGAAGUUGAUUUGUUAAUUUUGUUUUCCUAGAUUUGGAUGCAUUUAUCAAGUUAAGGGAACUAGAUUUGAGCGACAAUGAAUUGAAAGAUUUGGUGAUCCACCAAGGUAUCAUUUAAUUAAACUUCUUUUUUUUUUCUAAUUUAGAAAUUUAGUUUUGAUCUCAUAUAUUAUAAUAACGGUUAUUGUCAUAAAUAUUAAUAAAGUUAUAUCAUAUCAUACUUGAAAGUAAAAUAUGAGUUUGGUGAAACAUUUUCUAAAUCCUCCAUUAUAAUGUGUUUCAACUUUAGUUUGAAAUUAAAAUUCUUUAAAAUUUUCUUAAUUUUAAAAUAUUAAUGUUUAUAAUUAUUUUGUUUGUAAAAAUAUAUUUUUUAAAAUAAUUUAUUUAAUUUUUAUGAGAUAAAAAAUAAUUAUAACAAUAAAAACAAUGAUAUUACAAAUAAAUAAAACAUAUAUUUAUGAGAAAAUAUGUAAUAUAACUAUAUUUUAAUUUCAUAUUUUUUUAAUAGUAUAAAACAUAAAAAUACAUAUUAGAGUUACAUAAAUCACAUUUUUUUGCCAAAAAUAAAUAAAUAUGAAUUUUGAAUAAUUUAAAAAAAUCUUCAAUUUUAUGAAAUUUAAACAUACAUUUAGAGGUGCUUAAACUUCCAUCGCAAACUUUUUAUAAAUUUCAAAAUGCACAUGUUAUUAACAUAUGUCUACAUACUCUUUAUAAAUUUGUAAUUUAAUUCUUAUACUUUUAUUUUUAGGAAUUUAGUCCCUCUAUUUUAAAAAAAAAAUUCAAAAUCCAAGUUCAAUAGUUAAAAUUGUUACUUUUUUUAAAAAUAAUUAGUUGGUGUGACAUUUUGAAAUAAAAAACUUUGGUAGCAAUGUAACUAAAAAAUGACAUAAUGAAAAUGGAUUUAAUAAAACAAUUUUAACAGUAUUAAUAAUUAGACUUGAAUUUUGAAAUUGAGUAAAAUAAAUGGCAUAAAACAUAAAAAUACACGUUAGAGUUAAUUAAAUGGCAUUUUUUGGCCAAAAAUAAAUAAAUGUCAAUUUUGAAUAAUUUAAAAAAAAAACUUCAAUUUUAUGAAAUUUAAACAUACAUUUUGAGGUGCUUAAAAAUUUUUUUCCAAACUUUUUAUAAAUUUCAAAAUGCACAUGUUAUUAACUUUUUGGUUUAAAAAAUGUGAUAGGUCUACGUACUCUUUACGAAUUUGUAAUUUAAUUCUUGUAUUUCUAUUUUCGUCAAUUUCCCUCUAUUUUUUAAAAUUUAAAAUCCAAGUUCAAUUGUUAACAUUGUUAUUUUUUUAAAUUAAUUUAUUGGUGUUGACAUUUUGAAAUAAAAAAACCUUGGUAGCAAUGUAACUAAAAGAUGACGUAAUGAACAUGGAUUUAAUAAAAUAAUUUCAAUAGUAUUAAUAGUUAGACCUGAAUUUUGAAAAUUUAUUUUUGUAAAGAGAAAAAUAUGCACAUUAGAUUUAAAUAAAAAUAAUAUUUUUUUAGUUUAAAAUUUUCUAUUUUAUAAUAGAACCAUGAUUUAAAUAAAUGAAAUUUUGAAGAGUUGCCAAAAAAAACUAUGUAGGUGAAAUUUAAAUAGAGAAUUUGAGAAGCUGAAAGUCUCUUUCAGAAUUUAUAAAUUUUAAAAUUCAAAAGGAUGUAUUUUGACAAUUUUAGGGCAAUGAUUUAGUGCUUUAAAAUUUUGAUUUAAUAUGGAGAAUUUAAUUAAAAAAUUUAUUUAUUAGAUUGCAAAAUAUUAUAAUAUGUAAUAUAACUAUAUUUUAAUUUCAUAUAUUUUUAAUAGUAUAAAACAUAAAAAUUCAUAUUAGAGUUAAAUAAAUGACAUUUUUUGGCCAAAAAUAAAUAAAUUUCAAUUUUGAAUAAUUUUAAAAAAAACUUCAAUUUUAUGAAAUUUAAACUUACAUUUUGAGGUGCUUAAACUUUUUUUUCAAACUUUUUUAUUAAUUUCAAAAUGCACAUGUUAUUAACUUUUUGGUUUAAAAAAAUGUGAUUUAACUUUUUUGUAAUUUAAUUCUUGUAUUUUUGUUUUUGGGAAUUUGAUCCCUCUAUUUUUUAAAUUUCAAAAUCCAAGUUCAAUUAUUAACAUUGUUAUUUUUCAAAAAUAAUUUAUUGGUGUUGACAUUUUGAAAUAAAAGAACUUGUUAGCAAUGCAACUAAAAGAUGACGUAAUGAACAUGGAUUUAAUAAAAUAAUUUCAAUAGUAUUAAUAGUUAGACCUGAAUUUUGAAAAUUUAUUUUUGUAAAGAGAAAAAGAUGCACAUUAGAUUUAAAUAAAAAUAAUAUUUUUUUAGUUUAAAAUUUUCUUUCUUAUAAUAGAACCAUGAUUUAAAUAAAUGAGAUUUUGAAGAAUUUCCAAAAAAAAAAAAACUAUGUAGGUGAAAUUUAAAUAGAGAAUUUGAGAUGCUGAAAGUCUGUUUCGGAAUUCAUAAAUUUUAAAAUUCAAAAGGAUGUAUUUUGACAAUUUUAGGGCAAUGAUUUAGUGCUUUAAAAUUUUGAUUUAAUAUGGAGAAUUUAAUUAAAAAUUUAUUUAUUAGAUUGUAAAAUAUUUCUUAACAUUUAUAAUUGAGUACAAAGUAAAUUAAGUUUAAGGGAAAAUAUUUAGUACUAUUAAUGAAACUCUUUUCUUUUAUCAAAUUUUUUUUUUAAAAAAAUCUGGUUUUUUAAAAAAAAUCGGGGUGGUACUAUUAAUGAAAUUCUAAACUUCAUAAGUAGGAUUGAGAUAAUAACAAAUAUAUUAUAUGGUAUAAUAAAAUAUUAAAAAAAGAAAUAUUUAAAAGAAAUAGGUUACUGGCCAUUUUUUAACUUCACUUGUAGAGUUAAAAAACUCCAUUACUAGUACCAAAUACUAAUAUUAAGGAAUUAAAUGCUAAAUUAAUUUCAAACAUAUUUAAAUCUGAUAUGAAUCAAGAAAAAAAUUAUUUUGAAAUUAUAUUUUAUCUUAGAAUGCUAAAAAAGGAUUAGUUUAAUUAAUAAAAUGAAUAAAUAGUUAUGUUAAGAUUUGGACAUUCUCUAUUAAAAUUUUAUUUUAUUGAUGAAAACAAAUAUUUAUAUAUUUCUUUCACUUACAGAAAAUAAGGGAUUGAGAAAUUUGAAAGUUUUGUUUCUUUAUCACGCUUUCACCGAUGGAAGCAUUCCAUUACAAAAUUUAGUGGAGGCUUUCUCAUCAGUUAAAGCCUUUCAUCUACAAUACAAUUAUCUGAACAUGACUCUGGCUACUCAAGGUAAGUGAAAGUCAUUAUGUUCUUUUCCAAAACAGCUUACGUUUAUUAACAUCUAAUACCUCUUCUCAUCCUAUAGAAUUAAAUGUGUCGAGCAAUGUGGAGGAAUUAUAUUUUGGCGGAUCUACUCUCAACACCAACAUUUUGCAAAGCAUUGGAGUAUUCGCUUCUCUUAAAACAUUGUCUUUACAUGAUUGUGGACUUAUCAGUCCCUUACCUAAUCAUGGUAAAUAAAUUUAUGGGUCAAAUUGACUUCUUUAUGAGCCUUCUGGGAUAUAAUAUCUCCUAUUAUGUUUAAUAGGAUCAAAUUUAAUUAAAAUUUCUUCAAUGAAUUUAUAAAUUUUUCAGGAUGGUGUGAUCUAAGAAACCUUGAAGUGUUGGAUGUGAGUGGGAAUGCACUUGAGGGGAUGCUUCCUCAUUGUUUCAGUAACUUGACAUCUCUUCGUGCGUUAGAUAUUUCAGGAAACCAUUUUCAAAUUCCGUUGUCUUUCGCACCAUUUGCAAACCUUUCAAACCUCAAAGUCCUUUCCGGUGAUGAAAACAAGAUGGUAAUGGAACCUUCCUUUUAUACCUCAGUCCCAAAGUUUCAAUUGACCAGCAUCAGUUUGUCAAAGUGCAUUACAUCUCAACAACUCAAUCUUGAACUUCCUACCUUCCUUUACUACCAAUAUGACUUGAGAUAUGUGGAUCUUUCUCAUAACAAUUUCAGCGGAACAGUCCCAACUUGGUUGUUAGAAAACAACACAAAGUUAGAAGUUCUCAUCUUGAUGGGUAAUUCCUUUACUGGUCCUCUCUCAUUUUCGUCAGCUCUUAUUUCUAAUGUAUCUUCAAUUGACAUAUCUGAAAACAAAUUACAAGGUCAAAUUCCGACUACUAUAUGUUCAACUUUUCCACAUUUGUGGCGGUUAUUCUUAUCCAAGCAUGCUUUUGAAGGUAAUAUCCCACUUUGUUUAAGUGUCAUGAAGUACUUAUCAUUUUUAGAUCUAUCAAACAAUCAAUUGUAUGGAAAAGUACCAGAAGAGUUGAUCGCGAAAGGCUCACUGACCAUUUUGAGACUAUCAAAUAACAAGCUCAGUGGAAAUGUAGUUCCUGUGGUUCUCAACUCAAAUGGGGUGCAGAAUUUAUAUUUGGAUGGAAACAAUUUUUCAGGAGAGAUGACAAAUGUUGAUUUGUCUACUUUUGAGUUUCCAAAUUCAAUAAGGGAAAUUGAUCUUAGUAACAACAAGUUGCAUGGAAAGCUCCCAAGAUGGAUAGGGAAUGCAUCGUUUUUGGAGAGAUUAGCUUUGUCCAACAGCGGUUUCGAGGGUUCUAUUCCAAUGGAAUUUUGCAAGUUGAAUAGGUUGGAAUUUUUGGAUCUUUCCCAAAAUCAUUUAUCUGGAUCUAUACCGUCAUGUUUUAAUCCACCAAACAUAGAGCAUGUCCACCUCCACGGGAAUAGACUGAGAGGUCCACUAUCACUUGCUUUUUAUAAUAGCUCCUCUCUAGUGACUUUAGAUCUUAGAGGAAACAAUUUGACAGGUAAUAUUCCAAAAUGGAUUGACACACUUUCUUCUUUGAGUGUUCUUCUCUUGAAAGAUAAUCAUUUUCACGGUAAAGUUCCAAUUCAGUUAUGCAAGUUGCAUUCUUUAAGCAUCAUAGAUCUUUCUCAAAAUAUGUUUUCUGGUCCUAUACCUUCUUGUUUGGGAAAUUUAUCUCUUCCAAUGCAAACGAAGAAGAUUCUAGACAUUGGGAUCUAUAGGCAAUCUACAGAAGAGGAUGAAUCAACACGCAUUAUGAUAGCAAAUCUGGGACCGGAUUCUUACUACCCUUACAGCUACUUUGAAGAAGUAAUAGAGUUCACAACAAAGAGUGGGUUCUAUUCGUACAAGGGCGACAUCCUUUCAUAUAUGACUGGGAUUGAUUUAUCUUGCAACAACUUAACUGGUCAUAUCCCACCAGAAUUAGGGAACUUGAGUGAAAUCCAUUCUUUAAACCUUUCACACAAUAAGUUGACCGGAGUUAUACCCUCGUCAUUCUCAAAACUUCAUCAAAUUGAGAGUUUGGACCUUUCUUACAACAACUUGAGUGGUGAAAUCCCCAAUCAAUUGGUAGAGUUGAACUCUUUGGAGGUUUUCAGCGUGGCAUUUAACAACUUGUCAGGUAGUAUUCCCGAACCAAAAGCUCAAUUUGGGACCUUUAUUGAAAAUAGUUAUGAGGGAAAUCCGUUUCUUUGUGGAGUUAUAUUGCAUAAAAGUUGUUCCAAAACCGAUUCACCAUCAACGAUAUCAACUGUAUCAGAAGAUAAAGGAGAAGAUGGUUUGAUAGAUACUUAUGAUUUUUGUGUGAGCUUUUUGGUUUCUUAUGUAGUUGUGUUGUUGACAAUUUUUGUUGUCCUCUACAUAAAUCCAUACUGGCGAAGAGCUUGGUUUUCUCUUGUUGGGAAAUGCAUUACCACCUGUCACUACUCAAAUGUGGGCAAUUCUUACUUAUCACAUUUUCAAGCGAUGUGUUUAGCUACUCAAAUUGCGAUUUGAUUUCCACACCUAAAUGUUUAAUUAUGCUAAGUUGAGCGAUAAUGAAUAUUUUGUUGAUUUUUGCAUUUUGAAUAAAAGCUCUUUUACCUUAUGGUUUUAUCAUUUUCAACCAACUAUUUCUUUUUUCUUCUAUGAAUUUAAUGUAAAAUCAUAAUCCAUUAUUAUGUAUAUGUAAUAUCUCUUUAAAUUAAAUUAAAUUAAAUUAACUGCCAAGCGUUCACUAGUGCAUACUAAAAAGGAAAUCUAAUGUAAAAUUAAAUAACAUACUAGAAAAUUGAAUCUAAAACUGGAAUAUUUUAAAACCUCACAAACAAUGCAAUUCUUUAUUCCUCUUUUCCUCUCAAGUUAUUUUGUAUCAUGUUAUAUUUUACAUAAUUAUUCGUAUCAUCAAAUUUUUUUAAAAAAAUUAAUAUUUUGAUAUCACGUUCAUAUUAUGCUUUAAUUCACAAUGUAUUUUAUAUAAUAUGUUUGUAAUACCCAAUUUUGUCCGGCCCAUUAAAACCCAAUUUGAAAUAAAACUAAGUGGGAGUCCAUAUUACAGCCCAAAUUCGGCCUAAUAAGGCCCAAAUUGCUAGCCCUAGCCUGUUAGCCCAAAAGAACACAGCCUAAGCAGAUUGAAGCAAAUCGGUGCCGCAGCAACUGCCCACGACAUGGCAACGGUUUCCACCCACGUUCAGCAAUUCCCCACACCCACCAUGCACGUUCUUCACCUGCAACAAACCAUAAACAGCAUUAUAGGAUCGAAUAUACAGCAAAAAAAAGGGGGGAAAUUUUAGUUGGUGCUUUCCGGUAAAUAUUGGCUAUAAAAGUCAAUCGAUUUUUGUAAGAAGGGGGGUUACACACAUAUAUUGAAAAAUACUGAAAUACGAAAGAAAAGAAUUAGAAAAAAAACAAAUUUUGGAAGGUGAUUUUUGCUCUUUCCACGUCUUUUUACUUUUUUCUGUUUUUUUGUCUCAUCUUUUUCUUUUGUAUUUUACUUCAUUUUUUUUAAAAUAAAACGAAAAGUAAAAGAAAGGGAGGAGAUUCUUACCAGCAGAGGCGCGCCGUCAGCAUAGUUUUCUUCGCUUUGUCCAAAUCGAAGUUAAAAGGGGAGGGGGUUUUGGCGUGAAGAGUUGGGAAGAAGAUGAAACAGUUUUUAAAGCUAUUGCUGCUGCAGAAUAGCGUUUAAAUUUGAGAUUGUUGUUUGUUUACGCUUUUAAUCCUUCCAUUUUAUCCCACCAUUUCAAAAUUAUUGUUGUUUGUUUUCAAAUUUUUCCAUGAAACAUUAUUAAUGUUUUGAUUUAAUACAAUGUUGUGCAAUGCUUUGGGUGGUUUGGGUAAAUUAUUUUUUUAGUCCUCUUUCUGUUACACGUGUUUUAAUUUACUCCCUUCCUUGUUUUUAUUUUCAAAUUUAGCUCUCAACUUCUGUUUGGAAUUUUAAUUUAGUCCUUAAUUUGUUUUUUUAGUUUAUUUUUAUUAUAUUGUUUAUUAUUAUAAUUAUUAUAUUAUUAUUAUUGUAUUUAUAUGUGUGCGCCUAUAUAUAUAUAUUAAUAUACAUAUAUAUUAUAAAUGUUUUAACUAUAUAGGUAGUACGUAUAUAUAUUUUAUUUUUAUAGUUCGUACAUAUUUUAUAUACAUUCAUUUUUUUAUAUAAUAAUAUUUAUGUUUUCAUGUUUUAUAAUUCAUAUGUAUAUACAUUUUAUAAUAUGUACAUAUAUUUUUGCAUUCUUUUCAAGGCUUUUAUAAACAUUUUCCAUGUUUUUAUAUUUACUAAUACAUUUAAAAAAAACAUGUAUUAAUAUAUUUUAUGUGUAUUUUAUUUUAUUAUUAUUUUUAUGACUUACGCAUUUUAUUUUUUUUCCCUUUCCCCUCAUAUUCCUGUACGUAUUUGCUAAAAUUGUUUAUAUAUUAUACUUAUAAAUAUGCAUAAUUUAAAUUUAAAUAUUUGCUUCAUAUUGCAUUAACAUUUUUAACAUAUUUUUAAUAAAUAUUUUGAUUUUUGUAAAAAAUAGUAAAAUUGGUUUUAUGAUCCAAAGGCUUUUAAAAUAAAAACGAUAUUCAAAGUUAGGGAUUUUCGAGGAAAAUUGAGCCCUAACGUAUUGGGUUUCGAUUUUCUUUGUUAAUUCCAAAUAACCGAGAAUAUUCGUUAUUUAAAAUGUAUAAGUAAAAUCAUUUUGGGAACUUAAUUUGCUAUGUCCUAACGUAUUAGGCAUGACAUAAUUGCUUUCUCGAAAUGAAGAUUUUCUUUAAAAGUUAAAAAGCGAUAUCCAAAGUUCGGGGAUUUUGAGAAAUUGUACCCUAAGGUAUUGGGUCUCGAUUUCUUUAUCUAACUUGAACAAUUGAUUAUCCUUUUUCAGAUUUCAUCAUUUGAGUUUUUUAAAAAAAAAAUUUAACCCUCGACACUAAGACAUUAAAUAAUCAAUUUGGUACUGAUUUUUGGGCGUUACGAGGGUGCUAACCCUUCCUCGUACGUAACUAACUCCCGAACUCGUUUUCUCAAAUUUCGUAGACCAGAAUGAUUUUUAAGGUGGGCCGAUCACACCUCAAUCUAGGAUCGGUGGCGACUCCAAUUUUGUUUUUAAAGUCGACAACCCAAAUUUUUGUUUUCAAAAAAUGGUUUCGACAAUGUUAUAACAAUUCAAUUUAAAAAAUAAGCAAUUAUCUUAUUUUUGCAUACCGUAAUAUACAUUUACAUGAUAAUAAUUCAUUGUACAUAAAUUUUGACAUGUUCGUAUAUUUGAGUCAUUAUAAUUUUAUUAUUUGUAAUAUGACAUGUUUUACUUACCCUUAAUAUUGUGUCAUGAUAAUUAUAACUCGAUUGGCAGUGUACCAAAUAUUUUUCUAAUAAAAAAUAGUAUUUUAUUCUAUUUACCAAAUCUUUAUCAACUUUAUAUUCUCACCAACAAAACAUACAUUCAAAGUUCAAAUAAGUUCCACACCCAUUUAUGCUCAUCAUCAGAAAGCUGAAAUAUUCCACUCUAAUUAACAUUAUGAUUCUGUAAACAACAAAAAAGUGUGAUCUUUUUUUAAAGCUCUUUUUUUUCUUUAAUGAAAUGGGAUUGGUAAAAAAUCCGCACAUGUGUCGUGUGUGAAGAAGGUCAGGUUGUCUAUUCAUACUGUAAUAAGUAGCUAAUUAUAGUUGAUCCUACAAAAUCAAAAUUAAUUCAGGUAUCUAUAUAUUCUGAAGACUGGACAGACCUUAGAAGCUCCUUCAAAUUUGCAAGAACAUGUCGUGGUCCUAAACUCUUUACACCGAUGAAAUUCAAAAGUUGCUCUAUAUCCUGCAAUCACAGUAAAGAUUAUGCAAGCGUUUCAGAACGAAUAACAUAACAAGCAAAAGGCAAUCAAAAUACUGUGAUCUCGAUAAUGUUCUUUGCCGAAAAGGAACAUAAACAUAACCUGAAAACAUCAGUGAAGGCUCAUCAGAUUUGCUUAGCAACCUUACAUACACAUGUAAAAAGCUUUGCUUUUGGAUGUAAGGUGUGACUAUCAUCACAGUCUUUCCUAAUUAGCUGAUAACCCUAUAUCUAACAUUAAUCAUGGCUAAGCAAAUUAACAUACAUAAUGUAAAGGAAUUUGACUAUAAGAUCCAACAGAAAACUUAAUAAAAGAUAAUCAACAUAGAAAGUUAAAAGGCAAUGCAAACUUAUUACAAUGAUGCAAGUGGAUCAAAAGAAAGCACUCUAUAAGGAAUUUGCAUUUAAGGCAUUGUAAACAGAAAAAAAAAAAAAAACUUUUUGGAAAGUAUUUUCAAAGAGGAGACAAACAGGGUAGAAAAAAUGUUUGGUCCUUCCUUUUUCUAUUUCUACUGUGGUGAAAAAGCCUUUUUGGGUUAAAAGUGUUUUUACACUGCAGAAGUGUUUUUCCACUGCAGAAGUGACGAAGAACACAUAGCUUUUGCAGUCAAAAACCUACUGCUUUUCGCUUUUGCAUUUCGAAGUGAAAAUUAUAAAAAUACUCUUAGAUUAAUUUAUAUUUUAUAUAUUAUUAUAUUAAUUGUUUAAAUCUUAUUUAUUAUUAUAUUUAAUUUUUUUCAAAAUAUUUUAUAUAUCAUCAAUUUUACAAAUAAUUUAUAUUAAUUACUUAAAAGGUAUUUAAAAGUUAUAUUUCAUGUAUCAUUAUAUUAAAUUAUUUAAAUAUCAUAUAACUUGACUAAUUUUUUUCUUUCUACCAUCAUGUCUAAAAAAGACAUUUUAACUUUCAACUGCAAUUUUUGGCAGUAAUGAACAACACUAAAAACUAACAAACAUACUUUUCCGCACCACAUUUCAACAACACUUUUUUCUAAACGCACUUUUGAACUAGUCCUUAGUCUAUCAUGCAUCAACUCUUCAUUUUUCUUUAACUACCCAUGUCCGACUUCGAACAUGGAUAUGGAGAUAUGACCAAGUCACAGUGACAUAGUUUUUAGUUAUGGGGAAUGGGAUUCGAGUGCUGGACCUCCUUUUAGAUGCAUGGUGGGACUUCAUCACAUUUUUCAAAUUUGUUGAUAAUCCUUCACCUAAUCUGCCGGUGAAGUUUAUAGAUAGUCUUAAGUGUCUAUCACAAGAACCUAGAUAUUGUAAAUCCAAUAUCUUCCAAACAAUUCAACCAUGAUAUUAAUGAUGAUGGAAGCAAGAUUAUCCACUAUCAAUGACAUAAAAUGAGCUGUAAAUGCUGACGAACAAACAUGCACUGUUUUUCCAACCUGUGGAUUGAAGAGCAUUGACAAGCUAACUUUGCAGACCAUUUGAAUCCAAUACUAUACAUAAAAAUGCCAAAGGAGAAUAAUUCAUCUUGGAAAAAGAAUUACUAAUAUGCAAAAGCUUACCUUGUUUAACAAGAAAACAGCAUAUGCUGCUCUUGUCGUGUCUUGACCUUCUAAAAACAGCGGAAAUUCUGCCAGCUUUACAUUUGCUGAAAGUGUUGUAUCCAAUGACAAAUCAGAAGAUGCAGGGUCUAUUGAAGACGCAUGGUCAUUAAUAUAUGAGCGAGAACCACCCAAGCGCAGAGGAUAACGCAAGGGAACUUGUAAAUAGGAUGCAAUUAGUGAAACAGCCUGCAAAUGAUGAAAUAACAGGAAACAAGAAACAAUAAUAGGUAUGAUUAAAAUUAUAGCCUCAGCAUGAGAAACAAACAAUCAAGAUGCAACCCACUAUACCAUAUUACCAUCCUAGCAAUUAAAAAUUACUACAGCAUCUUCAAGCAACAAGGGAUUGUAGGUGGUAGGUCAAAAAACUUGAUAUCCACAGCUUGAUAUUAUCAGAAAAAACAAAUUCAGUAAUAAAUGAUAACUUCACAGAAGAAAUAGAACGCACAUGUGCAACAUAUCCCAAGGCAGUUGCAGAUCUCUGAACCUCCUUUUUGUCAGUGAAAAAACUCAUCUUUGUAAAAGGAAGCAAGGUGAGAUUCAGACCUAAAAUUGUCAACGAUCCUUGAUUGACGGGCUUUGAUGCAGAAGGAUUCCCUAUUGAAGACAGGAACAAAGGAACUUCAUAUCAGUACAUCACCAGACACCACCUCUUUGUGAAAGUCAAAAGAAAAUUCAAAAAAAUAUCAUCAUGAAAGUAAGAGAUAUGUAAAAAGCUCAUAAUAUUCAAGAACAAAAAAAAAUUGUUUUGAUAUGAGGAGAAUUGAAUAGUAGAUUGCUAAAAGAGGAAUAACUGAAUACAACCAUUAUAACCAAAAGAAGAGUCAAGUGAUAGGUAAUGGUACUCCCUAAGCUGUUUAGGAAUCAUAAAAGACUUGUCCAGUCGACAAAAAUAACUCAUUUUAUUCUCCCCUAGUAAAACAUCAUAUUGGACCAACCAUAUUUGAUAUCAAAGGAUAUGCAUAUCCAGGCAUGCCAUUUAUAGAUAUUCCCAGUGUUACAAGAAGGAAUUGUUCAAGAGAAAGAAGCUGCUAUUGUUGGUAAAGUUUUCCUCAAACCAUUUUGAACAUCCAAAAUCUCAAGAACAAAAAAGAAAACGUAGGAGGAAAUAUAACAAGCAUCACAACGGGUUCUCGAUGAUAUAAGUGAGAGGAUAAAUGUUAAUUAAGAAUAUAAAAAUAAACCACAAACUAAACAGGAAAGACAUGGAUUUCAAAACGAGGAGACUGGCUGCUAAUUAAAACCAUAUGCGGCGUUGUCUAGGGCGCAAGGCACAUUCUAGGUGCUAACCUUUAUAUUGCCUCAAGCACAAGGCACAAAAGGAAGCGCUAGCCUGAGUGCAGUAAAGCGCAAUACGUAUAUGUGAGAGUUUUUGCAAGUCUGUGUGUCUAUAACAUAAAAGUUUUAAGAUAUAUGGUAAACUCUAAAGUGUGGUCUGGUUUAUCCACAAAACUUGCAAAAUUUUUAUAGGUGAAUACUUAAAUAUUGAGAAUUAUAGAGUUUGAUAUUAUCCCUUUCUUAUUAGUAAAGGUGUAUCAAAUGAAAACAGUAGAAAAUAAAAUAAAAUAUUGAGAAAUUCAACAAGGCAGGCUUUUUCUAAUGCCCAUUGCCUUACAAAAAAAGUGUGCCUAGGUGCACCAGGCAUACGCUUGAUCAAAUGGACCUCACCUGGAAGGGUCCAAGGCGUUUUGUUGUAUAAAACUAAGGCGUAGGCACGCCUAGGCGCAUGCCUUGACGACACUGACCAUAUGUUGGCUUUAUUGCAAAGCAUUAGCAAUCCAAAACUACUAGCACAUUACCUAAUCUACUACUGCUAGAAUAGGACUCAAGUUCUUGCUCCUGUGCAGGUCCAACCAAGAUCUUUACAGGAUACAAUAAUGAAACUUGUGAUAUCAUAUAUUGUUGCCUUGCUCGAAGCUUCCUUUGCACAUUUUUAAGUUUAACACAACCCCUUUCUUCAGUGAGUAAUCUAUUUGCUUCCUGUGAUAAAAACAACAUAUAAUCAAUCAUGCCACGCAUGCAAGACUACCAACCAACUAUCUAAUAAAAGAGACAAAGAAGUAGGAGAGCAAGAAGGGGAUAACCCUUGACUAUGCAAAGGAAUUCAUAGAAUGAGAAUCAUCUCAUCUAAGCCCCUCAACCACCUUCACAGGGGGUGGAGGUGCAAAGAGAGAGGUCUUAUUGAUCCGAGAGGAGAAUAUAUAACAUCUAAAGCUGAAUAAGAAGAAACCUUCAAAUAUAUCAUAAAUUCAGAAUUCAUGAUAAUAUAAAAAUGAAAUUCCAAAGCUAAUUUAAGCUAGAAUAAAAAUGCUUCACCUGUAAUCGCUUCCUUGCUACAGAAAGAGAGGUACCAGCAACCAACAAUGAUCUUACUUCAGUACUCAGCAUUUCCUCCUGUUUUUUAGCAUCCUCUGUUGCAACUUUGCAACGAGUUGACAUGUUUGCCAUAACUACUUUCCUUGCCUCUAGUCUCUCACGCAUUUCCUCAAGCUCGUUCAGUUUAUUCAAAGACUCAUUUUUUACCUGCACAGCAUGUUCCCACCCAUUAAUCAGUGGGCCAAUUAAUUAGGUCACAGAAGACAAAACUAAAUUAUCACUCACCAGGUCCCCUUGAAGUGUCAUAUGGCUUUAACAAUUCAACGUGCAAUAUCUAGUAAAAGUGAAAUAAACAUAGAAGAAUGCAAAUGCAAUUCUUAAACGCCUUUAAAUGGACAACAUGAAACAGUUUAAGAGACCUAUAAAACAGAAAAGUGGAAAAAAAAUCUGAAAAGGAAAAAAAAUGAAUUGAAACAAUAAAUCCAUCCCUUGAAGUGUCAUAUGGCUUUAACAAUUCAACGUGCAAUAUCUAGUAAAAGUGAAAUAAACAUAGAAGAAUGCAAAUGCAAUUCUUAAACGCCUUUAAAUGGACAACAUGAAACAGUUUAAGAGCCCUAUAAAACAGAAAAGUGGAAAAAAAAUCUGAAAAGGAAAAAAAAUGAAUUGAAACAAUAAAUCCAUCCCUUGAAGUGUCAUAUGGCUUUAACAAUUCAACGUGCAAUAUCUAGUAAAAGUAAAAUAAACAUAGAAGAAUGCAAAUGCAAUUCUUAAACGCCUUUAAAUGGACAACAUGAAACACUUUAAGAGCCCUAUAAAACAGAAAAGUGGAAAAAAAUGAAUUGAAACAAUAAAUCCAUCUGGUACAAACAGCAACAAAUCUCGAAAUAAGCCUUGCCUUGGCUUUAGCCCAUUAAAGCCCGGGCAUCCGGCCAAAUAAACAGUGACUGCCAUGUCAACUUUUUGAGACGGUAGAAAAGAGCUCAAAAAUCUCAAUUUCCAAAAUUAAGGACAUAAGAAGGAAAAAAUGUACUUAUUCUUACAGUAGAAGAGCAAAAUGAAACUAAAUGAAGGAUAAGGGAACUGAUGCGAAUUGACAUUGUUAUUUUUGGGACUAAAAAGAAUACGCAGAUUGAAUAUUUAAGAUUUUGUAAGGGAAAAGUUCCAUUCACCAACACAAUUAUCAUCGCCCUUUAUCCCAGUAAAGCUUAAUUGACAAUUUUUCUGUCUCGUGUUCUUGCUAAAGCAUUUGAGCAACCCAACAGAAAUCAUUAUAUGUCAAACUGAAAUGAUUGGCUUUAUCAAUUUCACAACCUAUACUGCCCAACCUAGUAAGUAAUUUAGGUGCAGACACCAGAAAUCUAUUUUCUUUGCACUCUACAACCAAAUAGCCUACCACUUAUCAAUCAAACACAGCUGAAAACUUCAGUGAGGAAACAUUAUGUAAACUGAAAAAACUAUAACUUCAACUUGAUUCAUAGCUCGGUAAGUUCAGGGAACUGGGACUUCUACCACCAUGAUCCAGUUCGAUGUGAAACAGUGAUCCAUAUCACGCAUAUCGGUUCCCGCAACAAGAGGUAAAACAGCAAAUUAGGUAAACAAUGAUCCAACUAUAUUUCAGAAUAGCAACAUUGAGCAUGAAAGCUAAAAUUAUAGCAUAUUAUGGGUCCUUGCUCCCUACAACUACAUAUAAAAUUACUAAACAAUAUUACUACAUUAAGGAUCCAGAAAAACUUGGUUUCAAUUGUUGAUCACUUGAUCCAACUAUUUUAGAAAGUUUAUUCUUCUUUUUCCUUUCCCUUAUUUUCUAAAUCAGGAAAAACAGUAGCAUAUAAACUGGAUUACUACUCCAAUUAAGUUUCUAAAAUUUCAGCAAUAUCCCUUUAACCUUUUCACUCAAGUCACUACCCCCCCCCCCAAUUAACAAAUAUAUUCCCAGUUUCCCUUUCACUUCAAACCCCCCCCCCUUUUUUUUUUCUCUACCCAAAUUCAGCUUACGUUCAAAAACCCAAAAUUGGUUUGCUAAAAAAACAUAAUUUUCAAACCCAAAGGUAACCUAAUUUUAAUCAGAAAAAAAAAAGAAGCAUUACCUGAAUUAGUGAAUGGAGUUUCUCUUGAAGACUUUAUUUUAAAAUUAUCUUAUACUAUUUGCUUUAAAUCGAUUUUUAUUAGUUAUUUGAAACUCGUUUUCAUGUACUAUUUAUUUUUUUAUCACUUAUUUAAAUUGUUUUACAUAUCUAUUUUUUAAACCCUAUUUUAUUAUAUUUUACUUAUUUUAACUUUUUUACAUAUUUCAUUAUAAAUAUUAUUAAUUAUCUAUAUUGAGUUUUUCAUUUAUGUAUUACUUAUUUAGAUAAAUAUAUACUAUUUUGUGUAUUACUUAUUUUGAUUUUCUUCUUAUACAAUAUUACUUUAAAAUUCAUUUAGAUAUUAUUAUUUCACAUAGUAUUUAUUUUUAUCUUCAUUUUUGAUCUAUUUCAAACUCAUAUAUAUUGUUUAUUUUGAAAUUUUAUGCACAUGAUUAUUGUUUAUAUUGAUGAUUUUAAAUUUCCUUUCUUGUAUUUUUAUUUAUUUAUUUUAAAACUUGUUAUACUUUAUUUGUGUUAAUUUGCUUAGUUUUUCUUUCAAAAUUAACUUAUAAUUCAUUAGCUUUUAAUGUUAGUAUUUGCAUAAUAUGUGAUAUAAGAUUAUUGCUCUCAUGUAUUGCUUAUCUGUAUAUAUUGAUUAUUUGUCAUUCAUUAGUAUAUAUUUUGUUUUACGAAUUAUCACUUCUCGCGUUGUACAUUAUCAUUUCCAUCGCGUUUUAUUUGCUCAAAAAUUAUGUUUAAUAUGGCUUAAGUUUUGAAAUCAUUUUAUCCAAAAGCUUCCAAUAUAGCAUAACACUCGGUGUUUGGGAUUUUUGAAAAGAUCGUACUCUAACUUACGAGGUCUCGAUUUUUUGAUAAUUUCAAAUAUACGAACCUUUUAAAAAAAAAACAAGACACAUUUACUUAAAAAUUAUCUCAAGAAUCAAAAAAAGAUCGUGUCCCAACUUACCGGAUAUGAUUUAUUAUCUGAAACCGAUAUGAUCAAGAUUUUUAAAAAUAAAUAAAUUUUGGUGUUUAUUCUCGUUUCGGGAUUUAAGAUAUUGUGUCCUAACUCACGGGAUAUAAUUUUUUUCUCGAUUAACGAGAAAUACACCCUUCUUUAAAUUUUAACAAAAUGGUCAUUUUUUUAAAUUUCUUUUCGAAAUUUUAAUUUUUCGACAUUAAGACAUUAAUUAAUCGAUUAGGUACUAAUUUUGGGCAUGACGGGGUGCUAAUCCUUCCUCGCAUGUAACUGACUCUCGAACCCGUUUUUCUUAAAUUCCAUUGACCAAAAUCAUUGUUUUAAUAAAAUCAAAAUGUUUUAUCAAAACGAUUGAAUUGCAAGGUGAUCCAAUCACACAUAAAAAAAAUGUCGGUAGCGACUCCCUUUUUUUCAUUUUCAAAAUAAAAGUCAACACUAUUUUUGUUUUCAAAAAGUGGUUUCGACAAAAUUGUUUAAAUCUUACUUAUUAUUAUAUUUAAUUGUUUUUCAAAAUAUUUUAUAUAUCAUCAAUUUUACAAAUAAUUUAUAUUAAUUACUUAAAAGGUAUUUAAAAGUUAUAUUUCAUGUAUCAUUAUAUUAAAUUAUUUAAAUAUCAUAUAACUUGACUAAUUUUUUAAUUUCUACUAUCAUGUUUAAAAAGAACAUUUUAACUUUCAACUGCGAUUUUUAGUAGCAAUGAACAACACUAAAAACUAACAAACACACUUUUCAGCACCCCUUUUCAACAACACUUUUUUCUUAAAGUACUUUUGAACUAGUCCUUAGUCUAUCAUGCAUCGACUCUUCAUUUUUCUUUAACUACCCAUGUCCGACUUCAAACAUGGAUAUGGAGAUAUGACCAAGUCAGAGUGACAUAGUUUUUAGUUAUGGGGAAAAGGAUUCGAGUGUUGGACCUCCUUUUAGAUGCAUAGUGGGACUUUCAUCACAUUUUUCAAAUUUGUUGAUAAUCCUUCAUCUAAUCUGCCGGUGAAGUUUAUAGAUGGUCCUAAGUGUCUAUCACAAGAACCUAGAUAUUGUAAAUCCAAUAUCUUCCAAACAAUUCAACCAUGAUAUUAUUAAUAAUGAUGAAAGCAAGAUUAUCCACUAUCAAUGACAUAAAAUGAGCUGUAAAUGCUGACGAACAAACAUGCACUGUUUUUCCAACCUGUGGAUUGAAGAGCAUUGACAAGCUAACUUUGCAGACCAUUUGAAUCCAAUAAUAUACAUAAAAAUGCCAAAGGAGAAUAAUUCAUCUUGGAAAAAGAAUUACUAAUAUGCAAAAGCUUACCUUGUUUAACAAGAACACAGCAUAUACUGCUCUUGUCGUGUCUUGACCUUCUAAAAACAGCGGAAAUUCUGCCGGCUUUACAUUUGCUGAAACUGUUGUAUCCAAUGACAAAUCAGAAGAUGCAGGGUCUAUUGAAGCUGCAUGGUCAUUAAUAUAUGAGCGAGAACCACCCAAGCGCAGAAGAUAGCGCAAGGGAACUUGUAAAUAGGAUGCAAUUAGUGAAACAGCCUGCAAAUGAUGAAAUAGCAGGACAUUAGAAACAAUAAUAGGUAUGAUAAAAUUAUAGCCUAAGCAUGAGAAACAAACAAUCAAGAUGCAGCCCACUAUACCAUAUUACCAUCCUAGCAAUACCUGCAAAACUUUCAUCAAAACGGUAAUAACACUUUUGGACAAUGUGUCCUAUUUUACCACACAACUGGCAUUGGGGCCGAUUGUUUGAAAAACCACCCUCACGGCCUCAUCCUCGAUGGAAACCUCUAUUGCAUUGAAAACCACCUCUAUGUGCCUGUUUGUUCCCUUGAUAGCCACUGUUAUAAUCAUAACCCUUGGUCCGAUCACCCUCAUCACAAUCUUGUUUACUAGCUAUGUUAGCUUGUUCGAGAACACUAUUCAAGAACUCAAGUUCUCGAGCUUCACAAUCAAGCAGCAUCUCAAUCAACAGACCAAGCGACACACCAGUAGCUGAAGCUACUACCCGUACUGAUUCACACUCAACUGGCAACCUUGCAAGAAUGAUGCUAACCAUUUCUUGAUUUGAAAUCAAACAACUCGUUGCAACCAACAUAUCACACAUGGACUUGAUCUUAGACAAAUAUUCUUUAACAAACAGAUGACCCUUUUUCUGUGAAUACAACACAUGAUGCAUACUGGACAAUUUUACCGUCGACUUAGUCGCAAGCCUUUUUUUCAAUAGUUUCCCAAAUAUAAUAACUAGUACGAGCACUAGUAAGAUAGGCUAGAAUUUCAUCACUAUCAGUUGAAAGUAACCAAGAAGCCAAUAGCUUAUCUUGUUGCACAUGUAAAACAUAAUCAGAAUCUUCUACUAAUCUCCCAUAUUUAUCCACUACAAACUGUGCUAGUACACUAAUAGCACCCAAAACAAACUCAUGCAGACCGUAUCAUUCAAGGAUCAACAUAAUUUGGAGCUUCCAUAAAACAAAAUUAUACUCACCAAGCUUUAUUGUAUCGUGCUUAGGAAAUUGUUGAAGACAUCUACAACUGUUGAGGUGGGUUUUCUUUAAACAUACUCAUUCCAACAAAAAAAAAAUCUACGUUAGUAUGAUUAAUUAGAAAGUGAUUAAUUCAUUAUUUAGUUAGAAGUGAUGGCCUUAAGAAAAAAAAUGACAUUAUUUUAUUUGGCAUUGUUAAAAGUGUUAGUUACUGAAAUAAUUAAUGAGAUUAUAAAAGUGAAAGAAUCAAAUUAUGUCAAGAGUAAAGUAGAGGGUUUUAAUCCUAAAUUUGGGUAUAAUAAAGGGACUAACACCAAAUAAUUAUAAAAUUUUCAAAUAUUUUGAAAUUAAUUUUAAAUAUUAAUUAAAUACAAAUUAUAAAAAAAUAAAAUAAAAAUCCCCAGCGCAGUGAGGGACAUAUUCGAUAUCAAUAAUUAUAAAAUCUGUAGUUGUAAUAUUUAAUUGAUAUAAUAUAUAAAAUUUGAGGGUUAAAUUUGUUAUUAUACAAUUUUUUUAACUGCCGUGUCACUUUGCAAUUUUUUAUUUUAAGGAGUCAUCAAAAUAACUAAACUAUGUAAUGUGAGUGCUUAAAUUACAAAAUUUUUACUUUAAUGUGAGUGCUUAAAUUACAAAAUUUUUACUUUAAGUGUUUAAAUUUUUUAAAAAAAUUAUAAUUAAAUAACAAUCUAUAUGUAGUUUGCCCAAAAAUUUUAUAACCCAAACUACACAAUUUUAUGGCCAUCUCCCACUUUUGAUAUCUCUUUGGCCAUUAGUUAAGAUGGGAGGGGAAUGACUUAUUCAAGAUUAGUGUCAACAUUAGAUUUAAAACCUACGGAAGUCAUGUUUCAAUUUUUUUAUAUAAUAAUAUAACAUUUAAAAUUAUAUUAUAUCUAUAAAAGAACUCAUUGGAUUAGGGUUUUUUUUUUAAUUAACUUUCCAUUUGUUAUUAGAAAACAAAACUAAAAAUGCAUCAAACAGGGCUCUGAUAAAAAAUUAAAAAAAAACCAAAAUGUUUAGGUUUGGUAUCGUUUUACUUUUACUUUAAAAUCAGUCUAAUCUGUAUCAUGCUCACACCAAACAUAUGAAGAAAAAAAAAAGUGAAAUAGUAAGGAUAUUAUUAAUUUCAUUCCAAGACAAAUUUUAGCAUACCCAAUUAGGUCCUUGGGUUAAUCUUAUGUUUUUUGUUUAGGCAUUCAGCAUUCUUGGCGUUUAGUUUAGUUAGAAUUUUAAAUUAUGAUAGAUCUGAAACUUUGGUAUUUUUGUGCAAAACUCAACCUUAAAGCUUUAUUUGUUGUCUAAAUUAUUUUAUUGAAGCCUAGGAAUUGUUGUUAUUGUUUCGGCUAAUUGACCUUAAAGCAUCAAAUGCCUUUUUUUGGAUGGUCAUAUUCCUUCCAAGGGCUGAAUUACUAAAAGCCCAUGAAGUAUCCUUCUUUUUCUUAAGUGAGCCUCUGUUUCAAUGCCGCCAAAAUUUUCUUUAUCCACAUGGAAGCUGACCUGCCAUGAUGAUGUGGUAAAAAAAUGAACAAUUUGUAUUUUUUGAAAAAUAUAACACUUAAGAACUUUCUUUCUUCUUGCCUCCCAAUUCUCACCACCAAUUCCUUAGCCCAAAUCAGUUUUGGCCUCCGACAUUGAUCAUAACAAAAGUAAACUUUCUAUUAGAAAUAAUUUCUUUUAUGUACAAAUUAAAGGGUAAGAUAUUGUUUGGGUACAAAAAAAGCAUAUGAGCUUACUUUAGAAAAGUGACAACGUUGGGCUCUUUUAGUAUUCUAUCCUCCCACCAACUUUGUCCAAUGUUUUUUGCCUUAUCACCAGACAGUAAAAGGGCCUUUGACCUUUUCAGGCUAAGCGCUGCCUGGUGCAUGUAGGGGGAAAAGGCCUUCUAAUUGAAGUUCUCUUUACUAUCUCUUUAAUUGUUUCUUAAUUGUAACAAAGGGAUAAUAUCGAACUCUCUAUUUCUCAAUAUUUGAGUAUUCAACACCAGGCAUGGGAUCAUAUGGAAAUAUGCAUAUGGUUGACAAAAGAAAGAAAAUUUGGAAAUGUUUAUUUAAGUAGUAACUGCUGGUUUUCUUGGAUGCUUUCUUGUUAAUGACUACUGUUUGGGCAUGUUUAUUUAAGAAUUGCCCCCAAGUAGUUUCUUGAAUCAUCUAAAAUUGGAAAAAUUAGUCUUAUGGUAACUCAUUAAAGUAUUUGAAAGUAUGCACAAGCUAAUAACAUUUUAGAAAUUAAAAUUGAAGAUCGGUUUUUAGGGUAUCAUGUCCAUAUUAAGCAUCAUCUUUCCAGAUUACUGUUCUCUCUCUCUCUCCCUCUCUGUGUGAUAUAUUUCUCAAGUGAAAGGUAACCUUCUUCACUUGAUUUUGACUUAAUUUUGCAGUCACCACGAUUGUAUAAUGUGUACAAGCAAAUGGGAAUUGUAAAAUCUUUUCAGAAUAUUCUGGACAAUGUUUUCAUUCCACUAUUUGAAGUUACAGUUGAUCCGAAUUCUCAUCCUCAACUACACGUGUUCCUAAAAAUGGUGAGUUCUAUGUUCAUCGGAGAACAUACUGUGCUAUAAUAAGAGAGUUCGGAAAAUAUAGUUAAAAAAUGCUUCUUUAUUGGAAUGACCUGCAUUAUAGCAAGCUGAAUAAAUGAUGCCUUAACUUUAUUCAUUGUGUUCUCAUAAUUCUUUAAAACCAUUCGAAAAUUCUAUUGAGCCACAUUAUAUGGUUAAUUUUUGGGUCUGUACUGCAUACUGAACAUGUGUACAUCCUUGCGAUUUUAGAUGGAUGGAGUUGGACAGCAAAGCAAUUGAAAAAAACCCAAUUUAUGGUUUCUAAAUGUUAGAUCAUUUAUGGUUUCUAGUUUCAAUUUAAAAAAAAAAAAAUCCAAAUCAGCCAACUAAUGAAAUUUUCAACGAUGUUAGUUAUUUUAACUAAUCCAUAACAUGUUUGCUUCUUCUUCUUUUUUUUAGCCUAGCAGCAAUGUUAGCCUCUGGACUAGUUACCGCCCUCCUUUUUCCCCUCCCUAUUAACCCUUUUUAUUUUUCUUCUCAUCCACUCCAUGAGUCUUCGUUCUUUUCAGUUUACAGAUUUAUUUUGUGAGUAUUUUUGUUGUCUUUACAAGUUGUAAUGGACAGUUGACAAUGGCUAUCAUCGUUGAAACACCACCGACCACCAACACUUUCUUUUAGAAAGUGGGUACCUCUUCGUUGACUACUUAAUUUGUUUAUAUUUUGAGAGUUUCAAAAUAAUAAAUGAUUUCAUGACUCGGUUUAGACUCAUGUUUUUUUUCCAUUGUUUAAUAAGUUUUUACUUUUAAAAGUUUUUUUCUACUCUUAUAGUAAGCUUUUUAGUCUUACUUUUGCGAGUAAUUUUAGGGUUGGUUUUGUCGCCAUCCCCUCUAGUUUGGUGGAUGCUCAGUUCUUUUGCUGAUUUAUGCCCGCCGCUUUGGACCAUCCGGGGUUGAUUUUCUUACUAUAUUAAGUGCUUGUAAUCACUUCUGAUAUGUUGUGCUUGAGUUGUGAUAGAGCUGAUUUCAACAUGCCAUAAUGUUCUAUUAAUGUUGAAGCUAAAGCUUUUGUUAUAUUGAUGGAGCUUGUCCUUUAGCGAGUACAACAAGUGUUUGUUAUUUCCUCCCCCCGAAUUGUAUGGUAUUAUUCAUUGAAUAAAAUAAUGAAGUUGUCUUAAAAAAAACUAAUCCAUAACAUUAACAUUAAUAAGAGAACAAAAUAUAUCAAAUUAAAAAAGAAAAACUGAAUCUUUAAUUCAAUUGAGAAAUUAUAGGGAUUAAAACUAUAAAUUGAUCUAUAAUAAUUUCUCAGGCAUUAAUUGUAAGAUUAAUUCCAUAACCUAAAUUAUUGUAGGGGCUAUAUAAGCUCAAGGUUGACGCAAAAGUCAAUAGUCAGCGUCUGAAAGUUAAUGCAAUUAAUUAUGUCAUUGUUGAUAUAUUUAACGCAAAUAUAUUAUCAUAUGUGUAAUGUCAUACCAUCUUAUUAUUUCCAUAUGUUACUAAAAAUCUAGUUAACGGACUAAGGAUUGUCAUUUGUAUCAAGACUGAAAUUUUAAAUUUUGAAAAAUAUAGGUACUUAGAAUAAUCCAAUUAGAGAGUAUGGACUAAAUCAACAAUUAUACGCAUAAUAUAGGACUAGUAAUUGGUUUUAAUUAAAUUGAUUUAACUCUAUUGUUUGGAUCACAACUAAAAUUUUAAAAUUCAAAAUGUAUAGGGAUUAAAAUUGAUCAAAUUGAAGUAAAUAGACUAAAUUUACAACUUUCACAAAGAACAGUGACCAACAGCAGAAUUUAACCAAAUAAGCUCACCAAAGUCAAUAGUCAAUCUUUGAAAAGUAAUGCAAUUAAUUAUGUCAUUGUAGGAACGCUUUCCUGACAUAAAAUUCCACCAACUAAGCCUUUUGCGUAAAUAUUAGCUAUGAAAAUUCAACCAUUGAUAUUAAAUUCAAGACCCCACAAAUGACAGACAUAUAUGUUGGAAAAAUCUUUGUGUGAACAUUUCUUUCGGUCAUACUCAUGUCGUAUAAGUUAGAGGAGCACAAGUCUAGAUUCAUCCAAUUUUUGAGGAAUUAAUUAAUUAUAUAUUAGUUUAAAAUUAUAGUGAAUUAGUGAGACGCCAUAGGUCUUGCUUGCAUAUAAAUAAGAAGCUUAGGCUUCUUCAGAUUAUUUACAUAUAAAAGUUUAAAAAGUAACAUAUAGCUAAGAGAGAAGAGGAAAACAGAAAGAUGAUGAUGAUAAUGAUGGAGUGGAAAUGGUUAUGGUUUAUAAGGAUGGCAGUAAUGUUGUUGGUGUUAGAAGGGUGCAGGUGGUGUACUACUGAUGCUUGUUUGGAGCAUGAGUCGCCUUCUUGCAUCUCAAACCUUUCUUCAAUUAUGAUAAUCAAUUGAAAAGUUGGAUUGAGGUGAAGGGUUCAGAUUGUUGUAAAUGGAAAAGAGUUGAGUGCAACACCAUCACUAGGAGAGUCAUACAACUCUCCCUUAAUCAUACAUCAUCCAAUAUAUAAAUGAAUUAAUGAAUUUACCUUUCAAAAGAGAAAAAAAGAAUUCAUAAAUUUUGAAAUACAAAAUGAACGUGUUUUGAUAUUUUUAGGGCAAUGGUUUAGUGGUUCAAAAUUUUGAUUUAAUAUGGUGAAUUUAAUUAUAAUUUUUUAUAUAUUAGAUAGUAGAAUAUAUUUUACCAUUUAUAAUUAAGUACAAUUAAGUUUAGGUUAAAAUAUUUUAUUAAAUUUUUGUACUUUUCACAGAUUUUAAAUUUAAUCUGUUUACUUUUAUUCUAGAAUUUAAUCUCUCUGCAUGUAAAGGAGGUUAUUAUGGCAAGGGGAAUUACCAUGGCAGAGGUAGCCGAGGCUGAGGAAGAGAUGCUGGAUAUGCUGAAGAAAGAUAGAUGGCUGAGAAACAGAAAAACUUUAGGAACAAUAUUCAGUGUUAGAAGUAUGGGGAUGUGAAGGCAGAUUGUUGGAAAAGGGGAAACAAGCAAAUUUUGCCGAAGAUGAUGAAGAGAUUUAAAUUAUUUAUGAGCUGUCUAGAUGACACUAUAGCUUCAACUAACAUUUGGUUUCAAGGGCGUAUAUCUCAUGAUGAAGAGAUCGUCUCUCUUCUUUUUUCUCAUAACAUAUUACACGCCAUGAUAAUAAAUAUUGAUAUGCCUAUAAAUUUGAGUUUCUAUUAUUUGUAGUCAUGAUUUGGUUCACUCCAUAAGUUACAUAAAUUUAUUAUAAUAAUUCAAUUAAUUUUAGAUUAAUUUUACAUUUUUGCCCGAACUUUAGUUUUUAAUAAUUCAAUCAUCCCACCAUUAUAUUCAAUUAAAAGUGUAAUACGAUUUUGCGUCAUCCAACCAUUAUUCUUAGUGUAAUUUUUGGUAGUGAGCAUAGAAGGACAGCGAGAACAAAGAAAGAAUGUAUCCAAUAACCCACUCCCCUUAUAGUCAAUGCUUAAAAUGAAUAAGAAAAUAGAAAACAAACGUGGCAAUGCCAGCUAAUUUGUUAUUACUAUUCACCGUAUAACUAAGGACAUUACGCACCGUUUUAAUUAAAACAAACUCACCGUUUAAGACCGUUACUUCUAUGCAUCGUUUUAAUCAUAUGCGUCAGUUCGAACAAAUAGGUGAACAUGAAAGCUUUAGUAGAUGUGUGCUUAAAACUCAAACUUUGUGUUCUGUAAAAAUAUUGAUUUUGUUGUAAUUGUAGGUUGAACUUUGUGAGUCCAAUUACUUUCUUUGGCAUCGGAUAUUUCGUGGAACUUUCGUAUGAGAUAUUUACUUUAUAAAUAGAAGAUUACAAAAUUUGGAUAUUAAUAUAUUUUUCAUGAUUUAAUUUUCUUUUCCUUUUUUGGGCUAAAAUAAUUAAUAACGAAAACACGUCUUUUGCUAGCACCUAUAAAUGCCUUAAAAAUGUAAAUUAAUAUUCCACAAUAAUUAUUAAGAUGAAAAGAAUUUUAUAAUCUAAACUUACGAUUUCAUGUGAAUUUAAUGUUUAGUUAUAGUUUUAAUUACAAAGUUAAAUUGGUAUCUUUGUUAUUGCAAUAAUUAAAAAAAGAUGAGUCCAAAUGAAGUUGAUUUUCUGUUUUUUAAAAGUGAAUGCAAGAUGGGACGGCUGGAAUUUUUUUUAUUAAACAGUAAGUAUGAAGCAGUUAUGGUAAUUGCUUGCUCCAUCUCACUCCACUCCACUAUAUAAAAUUACCAUUUCAUUCUUUUAUAUAUAGAAAAAAAUUAAAUAUUUUAUGAAAAUAAUCAUGUUUAAAUUUCCAAGAAUAAAAGCAAACUGAAGACUUAAAAUUUCCAUUAAUAAAACCAAAAUCAAAGAAGUAAAUUUUCCAUGAAUAAAACAAAAAAUGAAGAUCUAAAUUUUCCAUUAAUAAAGCCAAGUCAAGACUAAGUUUGUAUAAGUGUAAGAAGGGUAUAAAUGAAACUCACAAGAAAGCCACAUGAAGAAUUUUAUAACCCCAAACUACACGAUUUUAUGUCCACCUCUCACUUUUCAUAUUUUUUUGGCCAUUCGUUUUUCAAGAUUAACAUCAGCAUUCUUGUGGUCCGUUCAUCCUUUUCUAAUGAAUUUCCACCAAGAGUUUUAUUUUUCAAAAUGUUAAAUUAACUUAUGAUAUUAAUUAAAUCAAGAAAUUUUAUAAUAAUAGAGAUGAAAAAACUAAAUUUUCAAAAUCAAAACCUAAAAUGUGCAAGAAUAAAAGCAAACUGAAGACUUAAAAUCUCCAUUAAAAAAAUCAAAAUCAAAGAAGUAAAAUUUCCAUGAAUAAAACGAAAAAUGAAGACCUAAAAUUUCCAUUAAUAAAUCCAAGUCAAGACUAAGUUUGUAUAAGCGUAAGAAGGGUAUAAAUGAAACUCACAAGAAAGCCACAUUAAGAAUUUUAUAACCCCAACUACACGAUUUUAUGUCCACCUCUCACUUUUCAGUUUUUUUGGUCAUUAGUUAUUCUAAGAUUUAACAUCAACAUUUGAUUUCAAAUCAACGUUAAACCAUGUUUAAACUCUUUUUCUUAUAUAAUAAUUAUAUUAUAUUUAAAAUUGAAAAAACUAACCAGCCAAAUAUAUAUUAAUUAAUUAAUAGAAUUUUUUUUGCUCAUCGAUUAAAAUAAAUCAAGAAAGACGUUGGAACCACCAACCUCUCUUUAAGAACAACAGGAAUACAAGAACCUAUGCACAACAAGUACUAAAAUGUAUUAAGUAAAUUCAUCACCAGGCCUUAAAAAAAGAAGAUCUCGAUAUACCUGCUUUUGCCAAAGCAUCUGCCAUACCAUUACUUUGCCAGUGAAUAAUUCUGAACUGAAACUUAGCCAAUUGAGUGAUAUUAAUUAUAGAAAUGGUUCUUCUUGCAACCAUAGAUGAAACACCACUGAGACUAACAAACUUGGAGAAACUUGAUUAAAUCAAACUUAUGCAAAUUUCUUGAAUAUUUAAGUUAAGAGUUAACGUCAAAGUCAAGAGUUGAUAAGGAUUUUGUGGUCCAUUCAUAUCUUUAUUACAAUAUAUAUAUAUAUUCAAGAAAUUUGCAGCAAGUUGGAGUUUUGCAAUAAGGAAUUUCCACCAAGAGUUUUGGAAUAAGGAAUUUCCUCCAAGAAUUUUGCAGGAAUCAUAUCUCUAACAAAAGAAAGACCUUCAUUUGACUAAAUUUUUUAGUAUUUAUUUUAACUUCCAUUUUAUUAAAAAAAAAACAGAGGUAAAAAAUAUGCCGAACAGGGUCUUUAGGUUACUUUUCUUAGAACUAUAUUAUGUUAUAGUACCGUAUAAGUUAGAGGAGCACAAGUUUAGAUUCAUCCAAUUUUUGAGGAAUUAAUUAAAUAUAUAUUAUUUUAAUAUUAUAGUAUACAGAGGCAAUGUUAGAAAAAAUUUUUGUGGAGUCGAAAUUAAAUUAUAGUUUUAAAAGCAUAUAUCUUUAUAAUUUUUAAAGAAUUAAAUCAAAUUUUUAUCAAUUUUAGGGGGUCAAUGUGCAAUUUUAUCUUUACUAAUUUAAAAUUUUAAAACAUUUAAAGGACCUAAAUAGGAAUUUUUCUAUUUUAGAGGCGUCUGAGACGCCUGUCUAGCUAUGCCCCUGAUAGUGAAUUAGUGGGAUGCCAUAGGUCCUGCUUGUAUAUAAAUAAGAAGGUUAGGCUUCUUCAGAUUAUAUACAUAUAGAAGUUAAAAAUUAACAGACAACUGAGAGAGAAGAGAAAACAGAAAGAUGAUGAUGAUGAUGAUGAUGGAGUGGAAAUGGUUAUGGUUUAUUAGGAUGGCAGUAAUGUUGUUGGUGUUCGAAGGAUGCAGGUGGUGUACUAUUGAUGCUUGUUUGGAGCACGAGAGGAUUGCUCUCUUGCAUCUCAAACCUUUCUUCAAUUCUCGUGAUGAAUUGAAAAGUUGGGUUGAGGUGAAGGGUUCAGAUUGCUGUAAAUGGGAAAGAGUUGAGUGCAACACCACCACUAGGAGACUCAUACAACUCUCCCUUAAUUCUUCAAAAUGGGAAGACAGUAUGGGAUACAACACGAAUAAUAGGAAUCUCAAUGCCUGGUAUCUCAAUACCUCUAUGUUUCUUCCCUUUGAGGAAUUGAAGAGUCUUUAUUUGUCGGGGAAUGCCAUAAGUGGUAACCUUGAAAAUGAAGUGUUGUUCCAAUAGGGUCGGAAGCGUGUAAAUUAUUGUACUAAAAAAUCACACAAAGUUCAAUUCCCAGGGAAGAGAGGUGGAUCACAAGGAUCUCUUAAAUACCAAGUCUUUCCUUAGACAGAAUAUCCCUUCUAUAGUAAUUUAAUAGCACAAUUAAAUACUACUAUUAUACCCUCAAAUAUUGAAAGAAAAAUAGGACAAGAAAGAACACAAGAGUUUUAACGAGGUUCGGUAAAUUAUACCUACGUCCUCGGGCACUAACACCAGAUGAUAACUUUACUAUCUUCAAAGUAUUACAAACAAAUAGAAUUCCUUAAGAAUUCUCAAAUGGGAGAAGAGAGAAAACUAAGAGAGAAAGAUUGGUUGGGAUGAAUUGAAAUGAGAAAUGAGAAGGCCUAUUUAUAGUUGAGGUUUAAGGACCAAACAAUAAAUAGCCCAUUAUCUCAAGGACCAAAAAAAAUUAUCCCAUGCCACUUUUUCAAAGUCAAAUUUAGGGUGCUAAACUUGCACCACUUUGUAUUGUUUGCCAUUAAUGUUGUCUCCCAUUAAUGUUAACAAUCUCCACCUUGAAGAUUUGAUUAGGAUAAUCACAUCUUCACACACUUCCUUCAACUCCCCAAAUUCGAUAAAGCUAUCUUUUGUAGUGCCUACAAAUGCACUCUCGGGCGCCAUACACCUGAAGGUGCUCAAAUUCUCAGGAUGUUAAUCAAGUUCAAACAAUGAUUAAACUUGAUUGUUGUUACCACCUUGGUCAUCAUAUCUGCGGGAUUAUCUGCUGUCGGAAUCUUCUGAAGUAGAAUUUUUCCUUUUUCAAAGACUUCCCGCACAAAGUGAUAUCUUACGUCGAUAUGCUUGGUUCUUGAAUGAUAGACUUGAUUUUUCGCUAAAUGAAUAGCGCUCUGACUGUCACAAUAUAAACUUAUGUGACUUUGAACAACUCCUAAGUCUUUCAACAAUCCAUUAAGCCAAAUAGCCUCCUUAACAGCUUCUGUAACUGCCAUAUAUUCUGCCUCUGUAGUAGACACAGCUACUGUAGACUGUAAGGUAGACUUCCAACUUAUUGGGGCUUUCGCAAGAGUAAACAGAUACCCCGUAGUUGAACGACGUUUAUCUAAAUCACCAGCAAAGUCGGAAUCAACAUAUCCAACUACAAACUGACCAAGUGCUUCAUCCUGUUCAAAAAUUAAACCAACAUCUACGGUUUUUCGAAGAUACCGUAGAAUCCAUUUCACAGCUUGCCAAUGUCCUUUUCCAGGAUCAUGCAUAUACCUGCUCACAACUCCAACAGCUUGUGAAAUGUCAGGCCUCGUACACACCAUCGCAUACAUCAAACUCCCAACUGCAUUAGCAUAUGGGACUUUCGCCAUAUAUUCUCUUUCAUCUUCAGUCUUCGGAGAUAAUUGAGCACUAAGUUUCAAAUGAGAAGCAAGUGGGGUACUUACAUGUUUUGUGUUUUCAUUUACACCAAAACAUUGUAAUACCUUUUUCAGAUAUUGCUUCUGAUUUAAACAGAGCUUGCCUCUCGGUCUAUCUCUACUUAUCUCCAUGCCGAGAAUCUUCUUGGCCUCACCUAGAUCUUUCAUCUCGAACUCUUGAUUCAACUGAGCCUUCAGCUUAUCUAUCUCAUUUUGGCUCUUCGAAGCGAUUAACAUAUCAUCAACAUACAAGAGUAGAUAAAUGAAAGAUCCGUCAUGCAGCUUCUGCAAAUAUACACAAUUGUCAUAUUUGCUUCUUGUGUACUUCUGCCUUCUCAUAAAGCUAUCAAAUCGCUUGUACCACUGCCUCGGGGAUUGCUUCAAUCCAUAUAGCGAUUUGUUAAGCUUACAAACCCAAUUUCUACCACCAGCAUCUGUGUAUCCUUCUGGCUGAGUCAUAUAGAUCUCCUCUUCUAACUCACCAUGCAAGAAAGCCGUCUUAACAUCAAGUUGAGCUAGCUCCAAAUUCAACUGUGCUACCAAGGCCAACAAAAUUCUAAUGGAGGAAUGCUUCACAACAGGGGAAAAUACAUCAUUGUAGUCAAUUCCCUCCUUCUGAGCGUAGCCUUUAGCUACCAAUCUUGCCUUGUAGCGAAUAUCCUUCUUGCUAGGAGAUCCAUCUUUCUUUGCGAAUACCCACUUGCAUCCGAUUGCCCUUUUACCUUUCGGUAAUUGCGCCAACUCCCAAGUAUUAUUCUUCCGGAGAGACUGCAUUUCUUCAUCCAUGGCGCUUUUCCAUUUAUCACUUUCUAAGCUUUGCAUUGCUUCUUGAUAAGUGAUAGGAAUAUCAUCAACAACGGGAAGGGCGUAGGCCACUAUAUCAGUAAAUCGAGCAGGUUUACGAAUUUCUCUCCGUGGCCUUGCAACUGCAACUGGUUCUGGUGUACUUAGUGGUUCUUGGGUCAGAACCUCUUCAACCUCUAAUUCCUCCAUUGUGGCUGGAGAAUUAGACUUAUUAACUGGGCAAAUCCCCAUCUGCUCAAACUCCACCUGUUUUGGAGUACACUCCACCUGCUGUGGAGUAUUGCUCGUCUGAAUAUCUUUAUCUGCUACCUUUUUCAAUGUGGUAGAUUCAUCAAAGGUAACAUCUCUGCUACAGAUCAUUUUCUUUGUGCUUAAGCACCAAAGACGAAAUCCCUUCACUCCAGAAGUGAUUCCCAUAAAGAGAGCUUUCUUUGCCCUCGGAUCUAACUUUGACUCCUUCACAUGGUAAUAUGCAGUGGUUCCAAACACAUGUAAGGAAUCAUAAUCUGUAGCCGGUUUUCCAGACCAUACCUCCAUAGGAGUUUUUCUUUCUAAUGCAGAUGAUGGCAAACGAUUAACAAGAUGGCCAGCGUAUGUCACAGCCUCAGCCCAAAAUUGCUUGCCCAACCCAGCAUUGGACAACAUACAUCGAACUUUCUCCAGCAAUGUUCGAUUCAUACGCUCUGCCAAUCCAUUCUGCUGUGGUGUAUCCCUAACUGUGAAGUGUCGAACAAUACCAUACUCUUGGCACACAUCGAAGAACGGAUCACUUUUAUAUUCCCCUCCAUUGUCCGUCCUAAGCCGCUUGAUUUUCUUGCCAGUCUGGUUUUCGAUCAUAGUUUUCCAUUUAAGAAAAACUCCAAGCACUUCAUCUUUAGUUUUCAUGGUAUACACCCAAACUCUUCUGGAAAAGUCAUCAACAAAAGUAACAAAGUAGUGUUUUCCUCCCAAUGAAGGUGUUUUGGAAGGCCCCCACACAUCUGAGUGAAUAUAUUCCAAAAUACCUUUUGUAUUAUGGAUAGCAGUGCCGAAUUUCACUCUCUUUUGCUUUCCCAGAACACAGUGCUCACAAAAUUUUAAUUUGCAAGCCUUUACACCUUUCAACAAUCCUUGCUUUGCCAGAAUUUGCAAGGAUUUUUCGCUGGCAUGUCCCAACUUCAUAUGCCACAACUGCAUUGAGUCCAAGUCUUUGUUACCGGAAGCUGCAGCGACUGCUCCAAUAACUGUACUACCUUGGUAGUAAUACAAGUUAUUUUUCCUGAUGCCCUUCAAUAUCACAAGUGCGCCAGAUGUCACUUUCAAAACCCCAUCUCUCAUAGUAACAACUGAACCAUUGGAUUCCAAGGCUCCCAAUGAGAUGAGAUUUUUCUUCAAACUGGGCACGUACCGAACAUCAGUCAGAACUCUGGUUGAUCCAUCUUUAUUCUUUAAUUGGAUUGAACCUAUCCCAACAGUUUUACAGGCAUUGUCAUUGCCCAUAUAAACAACUCCUCCAUUUAGUUCUACUAAAUCAGAGAACCACUCCCGGUUAGGGGACAUAUGAUAGGUACAACCCGAAUCCAAUAUCCACUCAUCUGAAUGGAACGACGAUGAUGAUGCAACCAGUGAUAGUUCAGAGUCACUAGUAUCAUGCUUAGCAACACAAGCAUCUACAGCAGCUUUUCCCUUAUUCUUCAGCUUUGGACAAUUUUUCUUCCAGUGGCCUUUCUCAUGACAAAAAGCACAUUCAUCUUUCCCGAGUCUGGACUUUGACUUUGAUCUCCCCUUUUGAGUUUUCUUCCGAGUGUAUGAACGACCUCGGACUAGUAAAGCUUCUGUAUCUCUGAUUGAGUUUUUCUGUUUGUCCUUCUUUCUCUGUUCAUAACUGUAUAAGGCCGCACAGACUUCGCUCAGAGAUAUAUCACUCCUGCCAUGAAGUAGAGUAGUUUCUAGGAACUCAAACUCCUCAGGAAGUGACCCCAACAGCAUCAAAGCCAAAUCUUCAUCUUUGAAUGUCUCAUCCAUAUUCAGCAAAUCAGUGACUAACUGAUUAAAUUUGGUGAUGUGAUCAUUCAUUGUGGUACUUGGGACGUAUGUGAAGCGAAACAGUCUUUUCUUCAAGUGGAGCUUAUUUUGACUGUUUUUCUUCAAAAAUUUUUCUUCAAGUGCCACCCACAACUUAUUUGCAGAAGUCUCCUUUGAAAAAGCAUACCUCUGCUCUCGAGAAAGGCAUGAUCGAAUUGUGCCACAUGCCAACCGAUUGAUCGCCUUCCAAUCUUUCUCCUGUACAUCAUCUGGUUUCUCUUCAUCAAUGGCAAUGUCUAGACCCUGCUGAAAAAGGGCAUCUAGAACCUCACUUUGCCACAUACCAAAAUGGCCCGUGCCAUCAAAGAUCUCCACGGCCAAUCUUGCAUUUGCAAUUGUCGGUCUUGUCCACAUGGACGAUGUUGAAGCUCCUACACCGACCGUUUUCUCCAUAAUCUUUCAAUAUACCUAAGGAAAUCUUUUCUGAUGUGGAAGAUCAGUUCAAACUGCAACCACAGAGCAUACUACGAUUAACCUUCGGCUCUGAUACCACUUGUUGUUCCAAUAGGGUCGGAAGCGUGUAAAUUAUUGUACUAAAAAAUCACACAAAGUUCAAUUCCCAGGGAAGAGAGGUGGAUCACAAGGAUCUCUUAAAUACCAAGUCUUUCCUUAGACAGAAUAUCCCUUCUAUAGUAAUUUAAUAGCACAAUUAAAUACUACUAUUAUACCCUCAAAUAUUGAAAGAAAAAUAGGACAAGAAAGAACACAAGAGUUUUAACGAGGUUCGGUAAAUUAUACCUACGUCCUCGGGCACUAACACCAGAUGAUAACUUUACUAUCUUCAAAGUAUUACAAACAAAUAGAAUUCCUUAAGAAUUCUCAAAUGGGAGAAGAGAGAAAACUAAGAGAGAAAGAUUGGUUGGGAUGAAUUGAAAUGAGAAAUGAGAAGGCCUAUUUAUAGUUGAGGUUUAAGGACCAAACAAUAAAUAGCCCAUUAUCUCAAGGACCAAAAAAAAUUAUCCCAUGCCACUUUUUCAAAGUCAAAUUUAGGGUGCUAAACUUGCACCACUUUGUAUUGUUUGCCAUUAAUGUUGUCUCCCAUUAAUGUUAACAUGAAGGUCGUGCCUCUAGUUUUUCUUUAAUUACAUCUUUUGUUAUUACACUACUCUCACCAUCGUUAAUUUGCAAUUACUUAUAUUUUAUUUUAUUUUAUGGAAGAAAAGUCACUAACUUGUAUAUAUUUAAAAGAAUAUUUCUAUAGGCUUUGGAAAACUAUCAUCCACAUUGAGUAAUUUGGAGAUCCUUGACUUAAGUUUCAAUUACUUGAAUGAUAGCAUUUUGUUAUCUUUGAGUGAGCUUUCAUCUCUCCGGUAUUUAGAUCUAUCACGCAACAAAUUUGAAGGAUCAGGUCAUCAAAGAGGUAAAUUAAGUUUGGUCUGGUGUU